AGGGUUCGAUUCUGGCUCAGGAUUAACGCUGGCGGCGUGCCUAAUACAUGCAAGUCGAAUGGUAGCAAUACCAUGGCGAACGGGUGAGUAACACGUAGGUAACCUGUCUUUAAGCCGAGGAUAACCAUUGGAAACGAUGGAUAAUACUGGAUAGGACAUUUGAAGGCAUCUUUAGAUGUUUAAAGAUUUAUCACUUAGAGAGGGGCCUGCGGCGCAUUAGCUAGUUGGUGAGGUGAAGGCUUACCAAGGCGAUGAUGCGUAGCCGGACUGAGAGGUUGAACGGCCACAAUGGAACUGAGAACGGUCCAUACUCCUACGGGAGGCAGCAGUAGGGAAUUUUCGGCAAUGGGCGGAAGCCUGAACCCGAGCAACGCCGCGUGAACGAAGAAGUAUUUCGGUAUGUAAAGUUCUUUUAUUAGGGACGAAAAGACAGAUUGACGGUACCUAAUGAAUAAGCUCCGGCUAACUACGUGCCAGCAGCUGC
rnacentral:rRNA from 1 species